rnacentral:rRNA from 1 species
AACGAACGCUGGCGGCAUGCCUAACACAUGCAAGUCGAACGAAACUUUCGGGGCUAGUGGCGCACGGGUGCGUAACGCGUGGGAACCUGCCCUUAGGUUCGGAAUAACUCACGGAAACGGGUGCUAAUACCGAAUGUGGUCUUCGGAGCAAAGAUUUAUCGCCUUUGGAGGGGCCCGCGUUGGAUUAGCUAGUUGGUAGGGUAAAGGCCUACCAAGGCGACGAUCCAUAGCUGGUCUGAGAGGAUGAUCAGCCACAUUGGGACUGAGACACGGCCCAGACUCCUACGGGAGGCAGCAGUGGGGAAUAUUGCGCAAUGGGCGAAAGCCUGACGCAGCCAUGCCGCGUGAAUGAUGAAGGUCUUAGGAUUGUAAAACUCUUUUACCCGGGACGAUAAUGACGGUACCGGGAGAAGAAGCCCCGGCUAACUUCGUG